rnacentral:lncRNA from 1 species
UUAUUUUUAGGUUAUAUAUUAUAAAUUUAGUUAAAUAAAACCUAGAUAAAAAUAAACCAAAACAUUGAAAUAAAACCAAAACCCCUAAAAUUUCCCCAAAUCCUAUUUCCCGUUUCUCAUUUCCCCAAAUCCUAUUUCCUACGAUUCCAACCUCCCGACGAUUCCAACCUCUCCGGUGAGCACGAACGGUGAUUGUCAACUUCUGUCCGGUCUCUGUCCGAUCUCCGCAAGCGGUAAUCAGGUAUGCAAAAUUAGAAACUGCGGUAAACAACUGCAAAGCCAUUACAUUUCAACUUGUUGAUUAGAAACUGCAAAAUUAGAAACUUUUACAUUUGAUUAAUCGGUCUUUGCCAUUCUCUAUCAAAAAACAAUUGUAUGAAGGCAGUUAACAAAAUCACAGUUCCUCUGCACACAUUUCAACUAGAUUAGCCACUCAACUCUCAAACUGCUUCUCCUCCUUCUAUGUUCACUAUGUUUAUACUCUUCUGAUAAACAACAAGCUGCUAUCAAAUUAGAUAUGCCAUUACAACUGCAAAGCCAGGUCAGGCUGCUGCUGAACAGGAGGAGAGCUUGGUGAUUGGAAACCAAUAUUCAAGUCUGGAGGAUCUCUAAUUUUACUGUGGCUUUCUUCUGCUUGUGAGCCAAUACGUUGCCAAUGAUCAAACUGAUUACCCUGUUCGAAUGUAGACAGUGCACCAUGCCCACUUCUAACCAUUUGCCUCGGUUUCGAGACUGUUUCGGUUUGUGAACAUCGUUGCUUCUGUCUUCUAUCAAUAUCUUCAAAUCCAUCAUUUGAAUGCAAACUAUCUGGUGAAGGUUGGAGCAUCCAAGUUGGCCGAUUGUAAGUCGACCAAUUUCUAAUUUGCACUUCUGAAUUACUCUGACCUUCCAUUAACCUGUGUCCAGUACAACUUAUGGUAGGCAUCCAUGAUUGGGAACUAUUGGCUGAACCAAAACCAACAAAAGAGUUUCUAGAAGAUGCCAAUAGCUUCGGUUUUUUUAGAGCGAUUAAUCACCAUAAAACUAGAGCCAGUAUCAUUGCUUCGGAUUUUUUAGAGCGACUCAAAAAAUAAAAAGACCAGCUUCAGAAAUGCUUGAAUCCCCCAAUCUCUGAUUUUAGGUGAUUUUAUCCUACUGCAUUUUGUACUAAAAACACUGUUGUUGUCUGGAUUUAAGCGAGUGAGUAAAGUGCAUAUUUCUUAUGGUAUUUUAAUUGGAAUUGAGUGAUUUAUUUAUUAUGAUGGUAUUUUUAUUUACUCGUCGGAACUUAUUACUAUGAAUACUCUCAUUGAUUAAGUAUGAAGUAUGAACAAUGAGACUAGAUAAAGAGAUUGGUAGUAUAGUAUGAUUAUGAUUGAAAUCUUUAUUUUAAAUAAGGUUUCUUAUGCUGUCCCAUAUGCUAACAUAAAAAUAUUUGUGGUAUGCGGAUCUUAGACAGAUCUUAGACAGAUCUUUCACAUGCUCUGUUUCAUUUGUUUUGAAAGUUAACCAGUUAUAGAAUAACCAGUUGAACCUCAAAUCUGGUUUUCUCUGGACAUGUCAGUUUUCUCUCUUAAUUGUGGUUCUCUUAAUUGCCAGUUUUCUCACGUCAAAUUCUUCCGGCAGCGGCGACGUUAAAUCCAUAAUCUCGGCAGUGAUUUGCUAAAUCUCUGUACUUCACAAGUCGAUCUCCACUCCGGCACUCCCAUCCUACACGGUAAUGUGUAUUCUAUUCUUAUUUUCUUUUAGUUUGGUUUGGGACAAAAAUAGAUCUGUUAAAUCCACGAUUUGUUCAUUUUUUUGUCCACGAUUUGUUUAAUCCCUAAAAAAUAUGUAAAAUCCCUAAAAAAAUUCUCUUGUUUGACCCAACUUGUUCAACAACAAAAAAGUAAAGAAGACUUUGAUCGGGCAGUUCAAGAGGCCAUUAAAAAACAGAUGCCGGAUAUACUAAAGGAACUAAGGGAAGACUUACGUCGAGAGACGAUUGAGGUAAUUAGCAUUUAUAUAUAAAUCAAUAUUCAUAUUUUCUUUAUAAUUUCAAUUUUUUUUUACAUUAGGGUCAGUCGAGCCAAGGACACGACAACAUAAUCACGCCUACUACAAGAGAUUCAAAUGUCGAAAAUGUUGGCAAAAAAGCGACUCAAAGUCCGACUAAAAGUGGGACGAAUAGCGCGACUAAGAGCAUGACCGACACUAACAAAUAGGUUCCUCUUUAUUUAUCUUUUCGUUUAGUUUUGUUUUAAAUGACAUGAAUUGUAUAAAAAUUGGAAUGGUAUGGAAUUGGAAUGGUUUAGAAUGGUUUAGAAUUCAUUCAUUUUCUUUUAUCUUUUGGAAUGGUAUAGAAUUGAAGAAUUGAAUGGAAUGUUUUGGAAUUGAUU